rnacentral:misc_RNA from 1 species
AUAUAUGAGUUUUAUCGGGAAAGUAUAAAUAAAAAAAACAUAAUAAGCUUAAAAUUUUACGUUUACUUUCUUUACAAAUAAUAUUCAGUCUGUUGUCAUUCAAGAUAUUCUUACACAGAAAUUAAGUAAAAUACAUUUAACGAACAGUCCAUGAAUGUCAUAAAACACGCUGAUAUUUAAAUAUUGCAUAGUACAAACAUAUCAAACAAUUUUUAGAUGGCGGAAAAAAAACUUUUACAAAAUUCUUCAAACAAAAAAUACCAUAUAUGAAAAAUAACAAAUGCAUUUGGCGAUUAUAUUAAAUUUGUUACAAAGUUUUGUUCACAAAUAAUAGUAACUCUAUUACUUAUAAAAUUCCAUUUUUUCACUUUUUGUUUGUAAUUCAAUAAAUAAGAAAAAUGAGCAUCAUUACCUAAUAAUUAUCAUAACAGGAAAAAAACUAUUACCAUAAUGAACUAACUAGUUCUAAUAAAAGAAUCAUUACGUUAUGUUAUUAAAAGAUUGUCACACACAUUUUCAUAUAUAAUUUCGCAAGUUAGGAUUUCACAAGAGUCCUAAUAAGGGUAUCUUGUUCUACAGAUUGCUUAAAAUUUACUCUCGCAAAUGACUUACUGAUAGGCUAUCACAAUCUCAAUCAGCCGAAAGUAAAACAGGCACUCAGAACCUGUUUCACGUCGACAACCUGUGCAAUGCAUUGCGUAUGUAUUGUGAAUUUUUAAGUUCCACAUACUCUAUCAACUGCUCGGUGUAAUAUUAAUAAAAAUUUAAAAUGGAAGUGGUACUUCAAUAAAAUGACGCGGAUGAAGCAAAUUGUAUUUAUACAAAAUGUAACUGCAAACAUUGCAUCGCACGUUUUUAAACCGCAAUGACGAAACGAAAAUACGAGUCGGUCACUGUAAAUAAAUCCAAUCACACAACCGUAGAGAGAUUAUUUGAUUUGUUUGAAGGCUUGUUUUACCGUUCGUUGAUAAGGUUUGACACAUACGGAACUGAUACGCCGCGUUGGCGCAACGGUUACAGCCAUGGAUUGUAUCAGUUGCGCUGGCGGUUGCGGGUUCGAUCCCCGCACAUGAAAAACAUUUUUAUUGGCCAUACAGGUGUUUGCCGUGGUCUGGGUGUUUGUGCAGUCCUUGUGGGUCUCCCCACCGUGCCUCGGAGAGCACGUUAAGCCGUCGGUCCCGGUUGUUAUCAUGUAAACCUGAUAGCGAUCGUUACUCAUAGUAGGGAU